rnacentral:rRNA from 1 species
GGUUAAGCGACUAAGCGUACACGGUGGAUGCCCUGGCAGUCAGAGGCGAUGAAGGACGUGCUAAUCUGCGAUAAGCGUCGGUAAGGUGAUAUGAACCGUUAUAACCGGCGAUUUCCGAAUGGGGAAACCCAGUGUGAUUCGUCACACUAUCAUUAACUGAAUCCAUAGGUUAAUGAGGCGAACCGGGGGAACUGAAACAUCUAAGUACCCCGAGGAAAAGAAAUCAACCGAGAUUCCCCCAGUAGCGGCGAGCGAACGGGGAGCAGCCCAGAGCCUGAAUCAGUGUGUGUGUUAGUGGAAGCGUCUGGAAAGGCGCGCGAUACAGGGUGACAGCCCCGUACACAAAAAUGCACAUGCUGUGAGCUCGAUGAGUAGGGCGGGACACGUGGUAUCCUGUCUGAAUAUGGGGGGACCAUCCUCCAAGGCUAAAUACUCCUGACUGACCGAUAGUGAACCAGUACCGUGAGGGAAAGGCGAAAAGAACCCCGGCGAGGGGAGUGAAAAAGAACCUGAAACCGUGUACGUACAAGCAGUGGGAGCACGCUUAGGCGUGUGACUGCGUACCUUUUGUAUA